rnacentral:rRNA from 1 species
UACAGAGGUCUCAAGCGUUGUUCGGAUUCAUUGGGCGUAAAGGGCGCGUAGGCGGCGGGGUAAGUCGGGUGUGAAAUCUCAGAGCUCAACUCUGAAACUGCACUCGAUACUGCUCUGCUUGAGGACUGGAGAGGAGACUGGAAUUCACGGUGUAGUGGUGAAAUGCGUAGAUAUCGGGAGGAACACCAGUGGCGAAGGCGACUACCUGGCCUGUUCUUGACGCUGAGGCGCGAAAGCUAGGGGAGCAAACGGG